CAGGGUCCGAGCCAAGUGGGGUCCAAUUUUUUUUAAACAUGAUAGGUAGCAAAAUUAAUAUCAUAGAAUAAGUCUGAUGUUAUAAUAUUUACAUAUGUGAGCUGCAUAUUACGUUUACCUAUCACAGCAGCAUUCUCCGUUUCUUCAUUUUCUGAAAUCUCUCCAUAAUAUCUUCAUUACUUAUUGUUUCGAAUACGUCUCUUUCAAUAUAGGUCACCAUACAAUC
rnacentral:lncRNA from 1 species